rnacentral:rRNA from 1 species
CACGUAGGGCGCAAGCGUUGUCCGGAAUUAUUGGGCGUAAAGAGCUCGUAGGCGGUCUGUUGCGUCCGCUGUGAAAACUCGGGGCUUAACCCCGAGCCUGCAGUGGAUACGGGCAGACUAGAGGUAGGUAGGGGAGAAUGGAAUUCCCGGUGUAGCGGUGAAAUGCGCAGAUAUCGGGAGGAACACCUGUGGUGUAGACGGCUUUCUGGACCAUAGCUGACGCUGAGGAGCGAAAGCGUGGGGAGCGAACAGG